rnacentral:rRNA from 1 species
UACGUAGGCAGCAAGCGUUGUUCGGAGUUACUGGGCGUAAAGGGUGUGUAGGUGGCCUGUUAAGUUCCGUGUGAAAUCUCCCGGCUCAACCGGGAGGGUGCGCGGAAAACUGGCGGGCUAGAGUACGGGAUGGGAGAGUAGAAUUCCUGGUGUAGCGGUGAAAUGCGUAGAUAUCGGGAGGAAUACCAGUGGCGAAGGCGGCCCUUCUGG